UACGUAGGGUGCGAGCGUUAAUCGGAAUUACUGGGCGUAAAGCGUGCGCAGGCGGUUAUGUAAGACAGAUGUGAAAUGCCCGGGCUUAACCUGGGGAACUGCAUUUGUGACUGCAUGGCUAGAGUUUGGCAGAGGGGGGGUAGAAUUCCACGUGUAGCAGUGAAAUGCGUAGAUAUGUGGAGGAACACCGAUGGCGAAGGCAGCCCCCUGGGUCAAGACUGACGCUCAUGCACGAAAGCGUGGGGAGCAAACAGG
rnacentral:rRNA from 1 species